AGAAGCUAUGGGUCCCACUUUGGGACAAAAUACAUCGGCAGAAGUUAUACGCUCCCUGUUUGUUUAAUUUCAACGAACAGCUGCAUUAUAUAUACCCAGCUUUGAACAACUUGGAAAUGCUUGUGAUCUGCUUUAGGUGACAAGUCAGCACCCAGCAACAGUGCCUCUUCAUGGGAGAUUCCCUGGAAAUCGGGGCCCUGAAGGCCUCCUCCUCGCAGCGGCUUCCCAUGGCCUCCAGCCCGCUCUGGUACCAGCUCCUUUCACAAGGUCAUGUGCAGCUUGCCUGUGGCCCAGAGACUUGCCUUCCGCUGCCAGCUACCAGUUCCAGCCUGGGAAAACCAGCAGACGUCUUGCUGUCCAGUGGGCUGCACUUCAGCUUCUCAGAUGACACCAAUGAGAUCUGAACCCCAGUCUUGCCUGCCUUAGUCUUGGGCUCUCCUUGCUUGCUGCUUAGAUGAACCAGGCUGCCACACUGAUCGUGAGCUGCCCUUCCAAGGGGCUCAUGUGGCAACAAAAAGCCGGGGUCUUCAUUCCUACACUUCGGGAGGAGCUGGGCCCUGCCAGCGAUCAGGGGCGUGCACUUGGAAGCAGACCCUUCCCCAGGUGAGCAGCUGAGGGGACUGCGGUGCCAGCCAACACCCAGACGGCAGCCCGUCCGAGACCCGAA